GUAGGCAGGAGAGAAAGGAGCUGAUUUAAUUUCCAUCCUGGGAAACACCUGACCUAGAGGCCCUUUCACUUUCCUUUUGUUCCGCCCCGGGUAGCUGAAUCCAUGCCAGGAGUUCUUUGAGAAGCCUAACAUUUGCUAGAGAUCAGUUUCCAAAAAGGACUUCACUCUUCAGAAGAGAGUGCGAAGGGGCUGAGUGAUCCCUCGCCGGCCAAGAAGCCAGCACUCUUAACGCUGAAAACAACAUUCCCAGAAGCUGGGCUCUCUCUUCCAACACUCAUCACCUCCCAUGUGUGAAGGAAAAACUGUAGCCAGUCUCCAGGAUGAGAAGGAGGGAAGAAUAUUGACCUGUUACCUCAGAAAACUCUGCCCAGUGAGAGGCCUGCCCUUUGGAGAGCCUGCCCUGGUUGCCACUUCGGGGGCUUGCAAACCUGGUUUCUAAGUUCUUGCCUUAGCUUACAGUGGAGUGAAAUGGGAAUUCAGAAACCUUAUGUCAUGAAUUGAUUUAUGUCCCCCCAAAAAUGUGUGUAUCAAUUUGGCUGGGCCGUGAUCUCUAGUAUUGUAAGGUUGUCCUCCAUUUUGUGAUUGUAAUUUUACCUUAAAGAGGAUUAGGGUGGGAUUGUAACACCUUUACCCAGGUCACACCCCUGAUCCAGUGUAAAGGGAGUUUCACUGGGGUGUGGCUUGCACCACCUCUUAUCUUACAAGUGAUAAAAGGAAAGGGAAGCAAGUAUAGAGUGAGGGACCUCCUACCACCAAGAAAGCAGCACCAGAAGCAAAUUGUGUCCUUUGGACAAGGGGUCCCUGUGCCUGAGAAUCUCCUCAAUCAGGGGAAGACUGAGGACAAGGACCUUCCUCCAGAGCCAAUGAAGAGAAAGCCUUCCGCUGGAGCCGAUGCCCUGAAUUUGAACUUUUAGCUUACUUUACUGUGAAGAAAUAAAUUUCUCUUUGUUAAAGCCAUCCACUGGUGGUAUUUCUGUUACAGCAGCACUAGAUGACUAAGACACCUUGUAAUAUAAUCAAUGCUUUAUAACACCUCAUUGGUAUUCAAAUAUAUUUUUUUCUAAGCUUACAUGAUUUUCAUAUCAGUAGAAGACUUCAGAUUUAAUUUUAUUAAAGACAGUUAGCAUCACUUUGAAACAGUAGUUAUUUAUAUGUCAUUCUACCGCCAACAAGAUAUUUGUGUGAGGGGGUAUUUCAGCUGCCACACACAUUCUUAACCGACAUUCAAGUGUAUUAUUGGCUAUCUUGCCCCUAGCAAUCUAUUCUGCCUUAAUGCUUCUAUUCACCAACAGUGCUGAAAGGGACUUGAGGUGUUACAGACACCAAAGGCAGCUAGCCAGAUUAGGCAGAGAAACUGCAGGAAGCGUAGGUUGUGAGAGAAAAGUGAGUGUAGUUCCCCUGAGAUAGGUGUGUGUUAGCGUAACCAUGGUUUUUAAUCUCCUCAGAUACUCUCUAUAACUAUACGUGCCUUGAACAGUAUGUUCAAAAGAAACACGAUAAUAGCUAACAGCUGGACUCUUUCCUAGCACUUUCUUAUCAAGUCCCUUCUAGUUUGCCGCUUCCCAGAACAGAGUAUCUCUGAUGCUUAAGCCCAGAAGCUUGAUUUAUAAACUUAGCGUAGUGAGCCCUGUCAAAAUUUUCUUACCAAUUGGUUUGCACCAUAAAAUAUGUAUAGAGCAGCUAUUGUAUACCAAGAUGACUAAUUUUACCUCACUAGAACUUUCAGUUCGUUAACUUUCUCUUAGCCCUGGGAAUUGUAAUGUAUUGUAUUGUUUUUACCUAGGUAGUUGUCAGGUAGCCAGCUGCCACAGAGAUAGCCAUCUCUAUCUGAUUUCUUUGAGGCUACAAGUCACAUAAUAAAGUGGAAUCCAU